CAUGGUUCAGACAUAAAAGGUGGCUUCGGCUACCACUUACAGAUGGACCCGCGGCGCAUUAGCUAGUUGGUGAGGUAACGGCUCACCAAGGCGACGAUGCGUAGCCGACCUGAGAGGGUGAUCGGCCACACUGGGACUGAGACACGGCCCAGACUCCUACGGGAGGCAGCAGUAGGGAAUCUUCCGCAAUGGACGAAAGUCUGACGGAGCAACGCCGCGUGAGUGAUGAAGGUUUUCGGAUCGUAAAGCUCUGUUGUUAGGGAAGAACAAGUGCCGUUCAAAUAGGGCGGCACCUUGACGGUACCUAACCAGAAAGCCACGGCUAACUACGUGCCAGCAGCCGCGGUAAUACGUAGGUGGCAAGCGUUGUCCGGAAUUAUUGGGCGUAAAGGGCUCGCAGGCGGUUUCUUAAGUCUGAUGUGAAAGCCCCCGGCUCAACCGGGGAGGGUCAUUGGAAACUGGGGAACUUGAGUGCAGAAGAGGAGAGUGCAGAAGAGGAGAGUGGAAUUCCACGUGUAGCGGUGAAAUGCGUAGAGAUGUGGAGGAACACCAGUGGCGAAGGCGACUCUCUGGUCUGUAACUGACGCUGAGGAGCGAAAGCGUGGGGAGCGAACAGGAUUAGAUACCCUGGUAGUCCACGCCGUAAACGAUGAGUGCUAAGUGUUAGGGGGUUUCCGCCCCUUAGUGCUGCAGCUAACGCAUUAAGCACUCCGCCUGGGGAGUACGGUCGCAAGACUGAAACUCAAAGGAAUUGACGGGGGCCCGCACAAGCGGUGGAGCAUGUGGUUUAAUUUGAAGCAACGCGAAGAACCUUACCAGGUCUUGACAUCCUCUGACAAUCCUAGAGAUAGGACGUCCCCUUCGGGGGCAGAGUGACAGGUGGUGCAUGGUUGUCGUCAGCUCGUGUCGUGAGAUGUUGGGUUAAGUCCCGCAACGAGCGCAACCCUUGAUCUUAGUUGCCAGCAUUCAGUUGGGCACUCUAAGGUGACUGCCGGUGACAAACCGGAGGAAGGUGGGGAUGACGUCAAAUCAUCAUGCCCCUUAUGACCUGGGCUACACACGUGCUACAAUGGACAGAACAAAGGGCAGCGAAACCGCGAGGUUAAGCCAAUCCCACAAAUCUGUUCUCAGUUCGGAUCGCA
rnacentral:rRNA from 1 species